rnacentral:lncRNA from 1 species
AGUUUGAUCUCAGACUGCUGUGCUAGCAAUCAGCGAGACUCCGUGGGCGUAGGACCCUCCGAGCCAGUUCUUAAGAUCUGCUAUGAAAAAUAGAUAAGGAUUUUGAAGUUAUCCAUGGACUUUUGGAGUAUUGUUAAUAAGAAGUCCAGAAUCAUCAUGACUUUCAGUCUUUGAUAUGUGACUUGUUCUUUCUAGAACCUUAUGAAAAAUAUCCAACCCGAGCAGGAUAAAACUGAUCAUCCUGAGGAUAUUGCCCUUGGAGUUAAUUUUUUGAGAGAAAUAAAACAAUAAACAUCAUAAGACACAAACCCCAAGCAACUGAUCUCACUGUUAAAAUCCAACCUGAGAACAAUGGAAUGGGUAAGUAGAAUAUUUAUUUAUUAAAAGGGCAACAUCUCAGAAAUGAAAUUACAAUUUAGUUGGGAUAAAUUGUCUUAUAACUUCAUUUUUUUACAUUAAAGCUAUAAUUGAGGGGUAUUAUAUGCUGUUUAUCACUGCAAUGAAAAUGUAGUCAGAAUGAACUUCUCGAGGCUGUUAAACUGCCUCUUAUUAGCAUUGAAACUAUACUCACAGCCUAUUAUCUUAGGCUAUAUUUUUUGGUAUAAGGGAAUUGCUAUCAAAGUGUACU